rnacentral:misc_RNA from 1 species
AAGUCGUAACAAGGUCACCGUAGGUGAACCUGCGGUGGGAUCAUUAAACAAAAGUUUUUCCAAACUUUCAACCACCUUGUGAAUUUGUGUUUUAUAACAAUAAGAAUCGUAAGAGCGUGCGUGACAAUCGUUCGUUCUGAAGCGAGUGGGAAUACAAAAGAAGUUAGAGAAACGUAGUGACUCUCUCUUCUUUUCGCUCCGUUUGUCCGCUCUUACGUAUUCUUUUUAUUUUCCCACACCCCAAUUAUUAUUUACACUUUGUAUCCACAUACAUUAAUUUGUACAAUGCCUCAUGUGGAAGAAAUUCCAUAUGUUGUGUUUUAUUCUAUACAUAUAAAACUUGAUGUGCAACUCUUAGCAACGGAUAUCUUGGCUCCUG